AGAAACUCUGCAGAAGGUAGAUAUGGAGUACUGGCCUACAGGGAAGUUUCUUCUUCAACUUUAACUAGAGACUAGCUCAAACCCUGAAGCAUAAAGGUUUAUAUCCUGAGCCUAAGCAAUGGAGAGAAAGAGGUGCUGGUCCCUGUAUGAGGAAGAUUCUUCCCAGAUGACAGAUUUCUGUAAAAGCCUGUUCCCUGCCAGGAGGAUUGCUUCUCCUCCCAGCCAGGUUCAAAUUAGCUGCUGACACUUAUUGACAAGAAGAAACACAUCCUUCCACUGGGAUAAAACAUAUUUUUAUUGAAGAAAGAAGAGACACAGGAUUGGGUUCCUAUUGUCUUCUCCAUGAGCAAGAAGAAAGGAAGACAUUUGGCCCCUUAAAUGACAGCAUGCCAAGCCUUAAUCCCAAAGAGAAGGUGCCCCAUGGAGAGCACAAGGUGAAGGGAUCUCAGCCAAAGAAUGAAGUCCUGAGCUUUGAUUUCAGUGGCUUCCAUGGUCUGCUCCCCAGAAUUUGCAAAUCCUGACAACCCCCAGCCUGCACCCAG
rnacentral:lncRNA from 1 species